CAUGAGAUCUUCCACCUCAGAGCGCUUUUUCUCCUGCUCCUGCUGUAAAUGGCUGCAAAAACAACCAUGUGGAACAGGAUUCUUGUGUACACCUACUUCAGUAUAAAGUCAAAUUAUGGAGAUGUGCCAAAUUUUUCCACAGUGAGGUAGGUAACUAUAAAUAGGAGGAAAGUCAAACUUUAAAAGCAGAAAGGAAACUAUUUCUGGAACUGUGUGUCAGAUAAACAGAGAAUUUCAGAAUUGAAAAUUGGCUGUAUAGAUUCAAUUAAUAAAAUGAUUUUCAUCAUGAGCUUUAUACUAACGAAACUGAAUUAGAUGUUUUUCAGGACAUCCUAAUCUGUAAAUUAAGAUUCACAGAAUUCAUACCUUCAGUCUUGCUUUUAUUAAUCAUCACUAAGAAAUCUUGCUUUCAGUACUAGGAUUUUAAACUGUAACAUGCCAGACUUUUUUUCUUAACACUCAUUCGGAAGUCUAUUAUCAAAAAUUAUCUAGGGGAAUUGGUUGAGAUAGAGCAUAAUUAUUCAACUAAAUACAAGCCUCUGAUAAAACAAUAAUAAGUAACCAAACUGAUUAUUACUUGACAUGUACAUAUAAAUCUAAGCAAUAUCAAACUAUGAAAGUAAAAUCACAUGCUGCUAACUGUGAUAUAAUCAACUAUAUUUUAUCAGUAAUAAACAUAGGUUUAGAAAGCAGAAAAAUGAACAGAUAAAGCCCACAGAUUCUAAAUUGAACAUGAAAGCCUGUAAAGUUUUAAGUGCUCUUGAAAUAUACUUUACUGAUUUCAUUUUUUUUUCAGUUCUGGUCACUUUUUCAGAAGAAGGAAGUCAAAACAGACUGUCCUGUAUAGUAAUCAGUAAGUGAUAGUGACAUUCCUAUUUCCUAUCAGCCAACGUCUGUCUUCAGAGUAGUGUUUUAUAAGCAUCUUAUCAAACUGAGGAAAAAAAAAAAUCACAAAAACUGCAGUACUGUUUAUGGAGAGAACAUGCAGUUGCUAUGAGUGGAAGCUCAAGCACAAACCUUCUUGAACAUGUUGUCUGUGACUAUCUUUUGCUUUAGCUUGUUGAAUUUCAAGUUGCUCCAUCAACAACCUGUUUUCUUCCAAGACCAGCCUGGCCUGAGUUUGUAGCUGUUGCCUGCAAUAACAAGCAGUUUAUAAAAUGACUGAAGUUUAUGUCCAAAGGAGAAAACAACCAGCUUCCAACAGUGUAAACUUACAAUUAUAUUUGAAUGCCUUUCAGUAACAAAUGAAAAACCUCCAUCAAAAGCAAUCUUAAAACCUAAGGUAAGCUUGCUAGAGACAUAAAAUGUCUUUGAAAAUGUAAAUUAUUUGAAGUAGUUUUUUUACAAACUAAAUAAAAAAAUCACUGUAGAUGGAAGGAAAGAUACGUAUGUGUAAAUUAGAGUCACAGAAUCAGAGUGAUUUAGGCUGGAAGAGACCUCUGUAUGUCAUCUGAUCCAGUCCCCUGCCAGUCUUAAGAUCUGUAAUCUUGUGCAUUUGCAUGGAUCAAGCAAAACGAUUAGUAAUUUUUCAUUUAUUUCUCAUACUAUAACUUGCCAUUCUGUAGUGGUAAUUAAGUUAUUUUUAUUUAAUUGCUCAUGCAGGUCUUCAUUUUCCUUCACCAGCUCUUCAACUUGUACUUUAAAAUUCUUCAUAUCCUCCUGGAAGAUAAAGGAUUUCAAAUUAAAAUGUUUAGAGGAGUGGUACUACGUAAGAUAUAUAAAUCAACUGAUGGCUUCCAGAAGAUUAAGGUAAGACAGAAUGUAAAAGGUGUGUGUGGGAAGCACUAUACAGAGUUCACAUUUUCUCUGAGACACUGUGAAAAAAAAAAAAAAACAACUUUCCAUAAGGCACAAGGAAAACACGUGGAUUUUCCUUCUCCCUAACACAGGUAAUCAGAGAGGUGAGACAGAAAUAGGCAAUGCAGGAAGCACAGUGUCCAUGUCUGCAUAGGUUAGUUGAUCUUCCUAUGCCUCCUUUUGUUUUAAUCAAGUAUGUAAUUAAAGCUUUGCUCUUCUUCCCACUGAAUAAGUUUGUGUUCUUUAUGCACAGAAGCUACUUCACAGUCCUCAAAAAGCAAAACUUUAAAUUGCCUGCAGGAAUACAGAUACAUUGUUACAUUAGCAAUAAGGGAUCUACUUCAUUUUUUUUCUUUCCUGCCAUAUGGACUAAACAGCUUAUCUAUUAAAAUAAGAGCUGCAAUUUCACCAUUAAUGACAGACUUUAAGAGACAGAAUAAUCUAGUAGCGUACUGUGUGAAUAUAACUUAAUAUAGUCACAGUUCCUUAGUAUAGAAAUAUAUACAUGAAACAAAGUAAUUUGUUUUGAUAUGCAGAGCUCUGUUACUGACAUAGAGCAGCUUCAUUUGUUUAGUCACACUACUUCUUGUGAGAAGGUCUGAGAUACUUAGGCUACACAGAAAUAUAUAAAAACCCAUGAACUCCUGUUAGGCAGAUACUUCUCCAUUUAUCCAUGUGACAAGCUUAGGAGUGCUGUGCCUGAAUUUGCUACAUGGAUGCAAUUAUUUAAGGCAGCAGCUGAAGACAGACCACACACCUCAUGUCAACCAGUUCAGUUGCAGUGAGAUACUUAGUAAUGGUGACAGCCUUUAACAUAGAUGUAACUUAGGGGACUAGAGAAGUCCAGUAUAACUUUCAUUUCAUUACAUUGCUUAACAAUCACUUACUUCCUAUUUAAAAAGAUCACUUAGAUUGGAAAACAAAAACAAAUUAAAUACCCAACAUAAAAAGCCUAGAACUACUGUUUUAAUACAUACCACAACAGUCAGCAUUUUAUCUGAGCAGGAAAAAUAUAUUUCUUCGUGAAUUAGGCUUACUGAGUAUAAGCUGGAAAAUGUAUUUUCAUAAACAUGCAUUCCUUGAAAGUGAAGAUUUGCAGUAAUGUCACAGAAAAAU